GACUCUCGCCAACGAAUAUCUCAGCUCUUGCAUCGGUGAAGAACGCAGCGAAAUGUGAUACUUGGUGUGAAUUGCAAAAUCCCAUAAACCACCGAGUCUUUGAACGAAAGUUGCGCCUGAAGUCAUUAGGCCGAGGCAUAUCUGCCUGGGCCUCA
rnacentral:rRNA from 1 species